UACAGAGGUCUCAAGCGUUGUUCGGAUUCAUUGGGCGUAAAGGGUGCGUAGGCGGGCUCGCCAGUCCGGGGUGAAAUCUUUCGGCUUAACCGGAAAAGUGCCUCGGAUACUGCGGGCCUUGAGGGAGGUAGGGGCAUGUGGAACUUCCGGUGGAGCGGUGAAAUGCGUUGAUAUCGGAAGGAACGCCGGUGGCGAAAGCGACGUGCUGGCCCUCUUCUGACGCUGAGGCGCGAAGGCCAGGGGAGCAAACGGG
rnacentral:rRNA from 1 species